UCAAAUAAAUGAAGCCUUGGUGAGCAGACGAGACUUCUUUUAACAAAAAACAUAAAAUCUUACCGUAUAAAAACUUUUGACCUGUACUGUAUAUGUAUAUGUAUGUAUAUAUUUGUUUGUUUUUAUAUAUAUAUACAGGGUUACAGAUUUCUACAGGCACAUUUUGACCAUGAAAUAAAACACAGUACAAGACAAAACACAAAAUGGCUGCCUAUUCAUUGUGAGACCUUUCUGUAACAUGUGUCCAGAACUCUUCCCUCUAACACCAUUUACUCGAUUAAGCAUAGAUUCAUAAAAUGCAAUUUCCACCACUGCGCUGACCCACUCUUUCAAUUCUGGGGCUUUCACUGUCUUCCAGUGUCUCAAAAUAAUCCUACUUGCUGUUGUAAUACAUACCAUAAUAACAGAAAAUACCUGCUUUGAAACAUUAGGCAUUUGAGACUUGUCCCCUAAUAGACACAGUUUAGGGGUUAAAGAUAUUAUAUAUUUAUAUUUUUUUAUAAAUAUGGGUAGAGCAUGACACCAACAAUGUCAUGAUUUUGAAAAACAAAUACCCUGACAUGGCCAUUUAAUCACAUAAAGGCACAGGCAAAAUAAAAAAAAGGCAAAAACAAAUACACAGUCUGUUUUUAUGUAAUUCACAAGAAAGACUUGAUUUUUAUUUUUAAAAAUCCCCAACAAGUAAAUACGGGUAAAGCUUGUUGCUCUCAACACCAACGUCACAGCUUCGGGAACUGGUAACAUAAAAAUUGCACUGGAUGUUACGAUCACUGAUCCAGUGAUACUGUACUGAUACAGUUGAAGUGACAGUGCAGCUGUUCCAGUCUGGUGCAAAUCUGAGAUUGCUGUUCACGACCCGUCGGUUCUUAGGAAAACAAUGGACGGAGGCUGCACCUUUAGACUCAUUGCAACCAGUCUGGAACAAAACAGAAACUGAACAUCACGCACUAUUUUUCCAAACCAGCAUCAGGAACCCUUCCCUUACUCGACUGCCUGCAUCGCAUGUCUCCCUAUCGUCACGACCCAACCGUUCACCUGCAACACGGGCUUCCUCCUACAGGCCUUUGCAUCUCAACACAAUCUCUGAGGCUGUGGAAGGAUGACGAGGCACAACAAAAGUACAGCAAAAUGUCAUCUAGUGCAAUCAGAUAUGAGCACUAACAAUGAUUAGACAGUGAAAUCAAGUUUAAAAUGAAGAAACAGAAUCGAGAUGGCGAUCCAUGAAGAAUAAUAAUUUAUUAUAAAGACCAGCUUAACCAAUAUAUUUUCUAUAUUCACAAGCCAAUAUAUAUAUAUAUAUAUAUGUCACUGAUUCUUGAGAUAAGGGACAAAACAUGUCCUACACACAAAAGCCCUUUUUAUGUUAAAAAUAAAUAAAUUAAUCAAAAUAAAACUACUUAAAAAGUUACAUCUAAACGAAAUCUGGAUAAUCAGGACAUUCAUUGCUUUUAUUUUUAAACAAUUUUGUUAGUAUUAUUUAAAUACAUGCUCUAUACUUGGAAAAUACUUGUAAUUUAGCCUGUCCUCAGCAUGAGGUCACAAUGUAAAAUUGCAACAAAUUCAAAAAUAUUUAUGUAAAUUGAAAGACAGAGAUUUGUAAUAUAUGAAACAAUACAAAAAGUAAGUCUUGAAAUAUAUUUUCCAUAAAAAAUGCCUAUCAAAGUUGUGUCUUCACUUUGCAUCAACUCCGUCAGGAUUUUUUAUAAUUCUGAAUAAAUCAGGCAAUGUUGUGGUCAUCUUUAACUCUGAGGAGCACUUACUAUUUCCUGCUCAUUGUGGAUCUCACAGUAGGACACAUAGUCCUGGAAGUUUUAUAUUUUUUUAUACUGUAUACAAACAAUGUUGAAGUCUCUGCGGUCACAGCUUUAACAUGUCAACUCCGUCAUCCCGGUGUAAUAGUUUCUGUAAAUAGUUGUGGGAUAAAUCUUGCCAUUUUUGAUAUGUUUAUUAAGGCAGAUACAACUGAGACAGAAAACAGAAUUGCUCCACUGUACAACACGUGGUUAAGGUGGGAAAAUAUUCAGUUUUGUCAACUCCGUCAGACGUCAACUCCGUCAGGUUUUAUGUCUGAUGGUUGACAAGUGCUCUCAUGAAGUGUAUAUAAUAUGUUUUUUGCAUAUGGGGAAUUCUUCUAAUGUUGUUUCAUGAUUCUGUUUACAUAUACUGUAUAUUUGGCCCCAGCUGGACCUUUGCUAGUGCAUUUUUUCUUUUUCUUUUUUUUUUUUUUAGAAAAUGGCCGAUGGUUUCUCUAGAUAAGACCCUUAUUCCUCGUCUGGGAUCAUGUAGAGCUCUUUGAAGCUGCACUGAAACUGACAUUUGGACCUUCAAAACCUUGAUUUCUUGUCGACUGAAGAAAGAAAGACAUAAACAUCUUGGAUGACAUGGAGGAGAGUAAAUUGUCAGGAAAUUUUCAUUCUGAACUGAACUAAUACUUUAAUAGAAAUGAUAUAUAACAAAAAUAAAUCUAUUAUAAGAUGUAAUGUAUGACUACAAGUCAAAAGUUUUAUAUUAUAGAUCAUUGAAAGCACACCAUCUUGUACCUUAAGACUUUUUUUUCCAGAUUUUCAUAUAUUUUUGGCUGCAAGGCAUGUUUAUGAUUCAUUUUUGAGCUGGUUGUUUUGAUUCAUGGUUUAAAACGUGAAUUUUUUGAUAAAUCAAUGAUUGAGAAAAAUACUAUUGGAAGUGGUCACUGUUGUGCUCUAUUGAUCAUAGUGUAAAUUAUAACAGUCAAUGUUGAUUUAAUGUAAAUCAAUUUUGUAAACAUUUUCCAUCAUUCUUUGUAGUUGCAGAAGAAUGAUAAAAACACAUAAAAUACAGCAUGAAUCACAUUUUGUUGAACUGGGACUAACAUGCUUUGUCCAAAUACGCAACUCCAUAUUUUUUCAAACAAAAUCACUUUGCACGCAUCACAUCAUAAUUACGUCUUCUGAGCUCUUAAGUAGGAACUUCCCAGGAGGACCUGAAGGCAGCAUAAACAGUGUGCGCUGACCUCAAGUGCUGCGGCCCACGUCUGACGCCAGUCCGCCGGACGACAGUCGCUCCUCGGCGUGACCGACACAGAUUAGAGUUUUAGAAUAUAUAGUUGAUCUUGUUUGCUUUUUGGAACCCACGUUAUUUGACCAACAUGUUCAGUUUUUAGGAACACAAUACUUGAACCUCAUAUUACAAGUAUUCUAUAUGCGUCACGUCAGCACAUAUGUCGCCUGACUCAGUAUGUGUCAACUCCGUCAGAAUGUGUCAACUCCGUCAGUAUUUGUAAACUCCGUCAGUAUGUUUCAACUCCGUCAGUAUUUGUCAACACUGUCAGUAUUUGUCAACUCCAUCAGUAUGUCAACUCCGUCAGUAUGUGUCAGCUCCGUCAGUAUGUUUCAACUCCGUCAGUAUUUGUAAACUCCGUCAGUAUGUGUCAGCUCCGUCAGUAUGUUUCAACUCCGUCAGUAAGUUUCAACUCCGUCAGUAUUUGUAAACUCCGUCAGUAUGUGUCAGCUCCGUCAGUAUGUUUCAACUCCGUCAGUAUUUGUCAACACCGUCAGUAUUUGUCAACUCCAUCAGUAUGUGUCAGCUCCGUCAGUAUGUUUCAACUCCGUCAGUAUGUGUCAGCUCCGUCAGUAUGUUUCAACUCCGUCAGUAUGUGUCAACUCCGUCAGUAUUUGUAAACUCUGUAAGUAUGUGUCAGCUCCGUCAGUAUGUGUCAGCUCCGUCAGUAUGUUUCAACUCCGUCAGUAUGUUUCAACUCCGUCAGUAUUUGUAAACUCUGUCAGUAUGUGUCAGCUCCGUCAGUAUGUUUCAACUCCGUCAGUAUGUUUCAACUCCGUCAGUAUUUGUAAACUCCGUCAGUAUGUGUCAACUCCAUCAGUAUUUGUCAACACCGUCAGUAUUUGUCAACACAGUCAGUAUUUGUCAACACAGUCGGUAUGUGUCAGCUCCGUCAGUAUGUUUCAACUCCGUCAGUAUUUGUAAACUCCGUCAGUAUGUUUCAACUCCGUCAGUAUGUUUCAACUCCGUCAGUAUUUGUAAACUCCGUCAGUAUGUUUCAGCUCCGUCAGUAUGUGUCAACACCGUCAGUAUUUGUCAACACCGUCAGUAUGUGUCAACUCCGUCAGUAUUUGUCAACUCCGUCAGUAUGUGUCAACUCCGUCAGUAUUUGUAAACUCCGUCAGUCUAUAUAAUGUGAUUUAAUAUGUUUUUUGCAUAUGGGGAAUUCUUCUAAUGUUGUUUCAUGAUUCUAUUUACAUAUACUGUAUUUUUGGCCCCAGCUGGACCUUUGUCAACACCGUCAGUACUUGUCAACUCCGUCAGGAUUCCGUCAGUAUUUAUCAACACCGUCAGUAUGUGUUGUAUGUGAAUUUAGAAACUGGAUUGUUCAUAAUAACCCUAACCCAAGGAAAAAAUUAGAGAUUUUUUUUUUCACUUAGCUCCUUUACUGAACACCAUUAUUACAUAAUUGAAGACUUUACACUGUUAUUGGAUGGAUCAAAUUAAAAUAAUAAAAUAUGCUUUUAUGCGUCUGACGGAGUUGACACAAAUUAAAUUCCAAAGUUAAUAAAUGUACAUUUUCAGAAAAACCCGUUCCGUUUUAUAUAUAUAUAUAUAUAUAUUCCUUUUUACAACUUAAUUUCACCAUAAACAAAAGCUAAAUUAGCUAUAAGUAGAAUUUCUAAAAGUAGAAAAAUAUGCAUCAUAUCUUCUGUAAUGUACAUGUUUUUUUUUUCAGCUAGUUGCAAAGGGAACUUUUUUAUUUUAGUUUAGUUUAACUUGAUGUACUGAAAUAAACUAAAACUGAAAUAAACAUUAAAAACGAUAUAGACAUAUAUACUACUAAAGUGACAAAAACAUACAACAUAUUUACUAAAACUGUAUCUAAUAUUCAAUUGAACUUAAUCAAAAUAUUAACAACUACUACAGCUUCUCAAUGAUAAUAACACUGCUGUCAAGCGAAAUUGUUUCUCUUAUUUUUAUUUUUUUUCUAUGAGGAGGAUUAUUUGCUUGUAGACAAACUGAACAAAACAGGUUUAACACUGACUUUUGAUUAGACCAACAUAAAAAUGCAUUUUUUUUUUUUCCAGCCAAUCAGAUUUCUUUGAUAGUGAAAGCAGCAGAGUUUAGACUUUUUGUUUGACACAAAUGUUGUUCUAGGACCAACAAAAAGAUGUUGAUCCAAGAACACGUCCUGCUUGGAAGAAGUCUCGCUGUGAUCGCUGUUGUAUGUAAACGGCUGACUCAUGAUGAGGAGAAGAAACUUAACCUAAAAUAAAAACGAGUCAAUCAUUAUGAAAUUAAGUGCAGAAUGUGGUUUAAAUGUGAAUCAUUUUGUCUUGGGAGAAUUCCAAGGAAAAACGAAGCGUUAAAAUCUUGGCACAGUUUGAGAUAUCUCUCCUGAAACAGUGAGAGGCUGAACCAAUUGCUUUCAUUUUAAUCAUUUGAGAUAUUAACAGAUAUUUUGCUUUCAUGUGCCUUGAAAUUUGAUUUGAUUGAGAUCUCUUCUGAAACCAAAAGAGACAUGUGAGAUGGGACUUUUUUUGCAUGAGAAAAAAAGGGCAAAAGACAGAAAAAAUGUCAUUUCACUUUCUAUUUAAUGCUUAGGAGAAACACUUGAGACGUUAAGAGAUCUCAUUUGUGAUGUUUCUGUCCUGUCAGACCCAGCUGGUGAUGUUUUGUCUGAAGUUAAUCAUGAGAAAUGUCUGAUUUUUCAUUGAGACUUUGAUGUCUUGGCAAAUCUGAGCACAGUUGGAGACAUUGAGAUCUCUCCGGAAACACACAGAAGACGUUUUCUUGGGAAAGAAGCAGAACUGGAUGUUCUUGGUUUAAUCUCAUUGCUAUCCAGGUGAAACAAUUGAGAUGUUAGCGAUUCUCUGGGUUAAAAAUGAGACUUAUCUCUUCAGUGUUGACCGUUUGAUUGAGAUAAUGUCAGAAAAAGUGUCCAUUUGCCUUGGAGAAACACUUAGAGAUCUCAUUAGUAAUACUGCUUUCACAUGGCCUGAAAUUUGACUCAUCUUGAACGUCUCUUCAUAUUGGCGUCGACUUUUUGAUUGAGAUCUCUUUUGAAACUAGAGGAGAUGUGAGAUUACAGACAAAAGAGGAAAAAGUGUCCUAUUUAAAGUCUUUAUUCAACACUUGAGACAUUAAAGAGCUCCUGUUUGUGAUUUUUUUUCUGUCCUGUAUCGCAGCAGGGUGAUGUUGUGGUAAAAUUUAAACGUGCUCGAUAUCAAUGGAGUGUGAAUCAUUUCAGCUUUCAUCUUCAAUUUAAUGAGAAAUGUUAUGAGUACAUUUAGAUAUUCUGACUUUUCAUUGAGACUUUGAUGAAAGCGUUGGCAAAUCUGAGCACAUUUUGAGACAUCUUCUCUAUCGUUGACUAAAACUAAAACUGUUUGGUGUACGUUGUCAGCUUGAUUUAAGUUUUAAUAGCAUUUUAUUUUAAAGGAUUAGAUUCACUUCAGAAUUAAAAUUUCCUGAUAAUUUAUUCAGCCCAAGGGUCUUUUCUAGAGAAACGAUCAGUCAUUUUCUAUUAAAAAAAAAAGGAAGUUGGAGGAGAAAAUGAGAAGGAGUUUUUCCUACGUCAUGCGUGACCUUUCUAACAUGAUUACGUAAUGCGUGGCGCAACGCAGAGCAGUGCAAGACGAGCAUUAGUGGUUAAAAAGUAUAUAAACUUAAUUAUUUUUUUAGAAAAUGUCCGAUGGUUUCUCUAGAUGAGACUCUUAUUCCUCGUCUGGGAUCAUGUAGAGCUCUUUGAAGCUGCACUGAAACUGACAUUUGGACCUUCAACCCGUUGAACCCCAGUGAAGUCCACUAUAUGGAGAAAAAUCCUGGAAUGUUUCCCUCAAAAACCUUCAUUUCUUUUCGACUGAAGAAAGAAAGACAUCUUGAAUGAUAUGGGGGUGAGUAAAUCAUCAGGAAACUUUAAUUCUGAAGUGAACUAAUCCUUUAACUUACUUAAACCAACAGUGUAGAGGAGACAUGUGAGAUUACUGGGCCUUUUUUCCUCACAAAAGGGGCAAAAUUAGCUCUCCAUUUAUGCCUAGGAGAAACACAAGAGAUCCAUUUGUGAUUGUUCUGUCGUGUGACGCAGCAGGAUAAUGUUUUGGCCAAAGUUAAACAUGCUCAAUAUGACGAGUGUGCCAAAGGCGACAGGUUUUAUCCGCGUUGGGUCUAAUCUCAGCAAAGCAGCACCUGAUUCCACGGCUUUGUUUACACAGCUCUGGACAAAGAACGGCGGGCUGGGAGAGUUACGGUGAAGCGACAUGUCAGGGCGUGUCCCUCGUCUGCGCAACACCAAGGAGCCUUUGGCCCGCGGCACAAUCAGGGCCCAGACAAGAAACUCCUCUCUCUGUCACUGGGUUUGUGUCAUAACUACAUGAGAAUAAACAAACGGCAGACUGCUGUCUCAUGAUAAUGACCACAAGUCCGACUAAUAAAAGCCCAGAAGUGCACAGGGGUAAUUGGGGGUGAUUAUAACCUUAUGUGUGAAUGCUGAUAUCAGUUAGUCAGGUACUGUACAGUCCGAUGUACAAACGGUUUCAUUAAGCAGAAACGCAAACAAACUCCCUCAUGCAAGCAUGAAACACAAACAGAGUUUUGCACCAGCAGGGAGCGUGUAAAUACCCCUCCAUGACUUAACGUUUUCAUUAUGACAAUGCUUUCAAACGGCUUUCCUUUAUGUAAACUGGAACAUUGCCAUUAGAAGGAUGAAGCAGAUCUGUGACAAAGAAUACAAAUCAAUACUAAAACUAUAGAUUUAGCUCAUUAAAUGUUUUCUUUUUCAUCAAAUGAGCUGAAAAAUAAAAUAAAUAUACUAAAAUGUAUUUGAAAUACAUUUAUUUCAUGCUAAGUAUACUACUAAUAUGUUUCCAUAUUUAUGUACAUAAUAAAAAUGCCCUGCAAUUUGGGUCAUUGACGAAUAAGGUUUUUAAAAGUUUAAAAAAACAUAAUUUAGAUAUAAUUAAUUAAAAAGUUUUAUUAAGUGUUAACAAUGAGAUUAUGUGGUUUUUAUAAUCAAUUAACACUGAUUUUGUCUUUUUUUUUUUUUUUACAAGAUUUGUCACCAAAAAAGUCAUUCGGUUUAACCAAAAUUUCGGUUUUACCGAAUGACGAUAUUUUCAAUCAAUGCUAACAGGCUGAUAUCUAGCUAGCUAACAAAAGGACAGUCAAACAUUUUAUAUUUAGUACAAGUUUUUAAAAUAUUACAACAUUUUCCAUGUUUUAUAGCGGUUGUACCGAAUGACCUGAUGUUUCGGGACAUGCGUAUGAGUAUAUAUACAUGCGUAUGAAAACAUGAAUUUUUCAGAUAGUUAAGAGAGAGUUAGUUACUUUGCUUCAUGACCAUGUGAUCCUUCACAGGCGUCUGAAUGAUGUCACAUCCUGUCACAUGAUAUUGAUCCAAAAUGGUCCCUUUAUAUUGGUUACUCCGAAUGACAUCAAUGAAAUUCAUUUUUCCGGACAUUCUUUCUCAUAACAAAGCAACGACUUCUACACAUAAUUUUAAUACCAUUUUGCACUAUGUUGAUAUAUGAUGUUAUAAAAUCAUGCCAGAAUAAAAAAAAUAUAUACAUUUAUUACAUUUAAGAUAUUUUAAUCACAAAUGGACGGUUAAACCGAAUGACCUUUUGACAUCUUUAAAAUGCCUUUAUAUGUAGCAAAAUAUAAUUAAAACCUUUUGGAUUCAAUAAAAGAGAUCUAGUUGUACUACCUUACAUACUUUGGAUGUCAUAUCUUUGUUUUUUUAUUAUUAUUAUUAUUAUUAAUGCCUUUGGGGGGAAAAAAGACCCGUCACGUCAUUGACCCAAUUGUACUUUUGGUAUACUAAACCGGUAUACUUAAAGUCUGCUAAAUUGGAACAAUUAACUUUGCACUUUAAUUGUGCGGAAGUGCUGAAGUAUAUACUUAAGUAUAUUUGGAACUAUUGCAAGUAUACUUUAGAUACACUUUAAAUAUCUUGCAUUUAAGGACUAAUAUUAUUCAAAGUUCAUACAAUCCUUAUCAAUAUAAGACUUUAAAACACAUUUUAGGCUUAAUAUUAAGAAAUGUGCAUUGUGUACAAGUAGUACUCCGAAUAAAGUUUAAUUAUAAUUUUUAUAUCUCAAGCGAUAUGUCAGUAAAUAUGUUAAUAUAUUUGAACUAUACUUAGUAUGAAAUAAAUAUAUUACCCAAAACUACUGUUCAAAUGUUUGGAGUCCUUUAAGAAAUUAAUACUUUUAUUCAGCAAGGAUGGAUUAAAUUGAUCAAAAGUGACAGUAAAGACGUUUAUAAUGUUACAAAAGAUUUCUAUUUCAAAUAAAUGCUGUAUAAGAAAUGUUUCUUGAGCAGCAAAUCAUGAUAUUAGAAUGAUUUCUGAAGGAUCAUGUGACACUGAAGACUGGAGUAAUGAUGCUGACAAUUCAGCUUUGAUCACAGGAAUAAAUUACACUUUACUAUAUAUUCACAUAGAAAACAGGGUUAUUUACAUUGUAAAAAUAUUUCACAAUUUUUACUGUAUUUUUGAUCAAAUAAAAGCAGCCUUGGUGAGCAGAAGAGACUUCUUUAAAAAAAAAAAUUGAACCCCAAAGUUUUGAACGGUAUAUGGACCUAGAAUUAAAUAUUAUACUGUUAAAUCUCACAUGUUAAUAAACAAAAGAACUUUUUGAUCCCAUACUUUAAAUAUCUGUGGCAUUUUUAUUUCUGCAUCCAGCCCUGGUUAAUUUCUGCCCCUGAAGGCAGUAAGGUGGUUAAACACGGGGCAUUUGAUGGUGUGACAGCUGUAGGCGCCGACGCUUGACUUACAGCCCCAGUCGAGCAGGAUGCUAUCCGGACGGCCGUGAGUCACCGCAGCCUUUGUGAAGUGACUCCCGGUGGCCUGUAAACAGAUAUUCAUCAUAUCUGUAUCACACAUGCUCUGGCUCCAACACGUCUGUCAAGCUCUUUUAUGCCUCUCGUCUUCUCAGCGUUCUCGGCUUCGGCUGACCUUGACUUCUCGCCUCUCGCUAGAUAAGAUAACGGUUAUGGCACUGGAUUGUGUUUGUCUUAUGUU